rnacentral:rRNA from 1 species
GACGGGUGAGUAAUGCGUGAGGACCUGUCUCAAAGAGGGGGACAGCCCCGGGAAACCGGGAUUAAUACCCCAUAUGCCUAAGGGUGAAACGGAGCAAUCCGCUUUGGGAGGGGCUCGCGUCCUAUCAGCUAGUUGGUGAGGUAACGGCUCACCAAGGCGAAGACGGGUAGCCGGACUGAGAGGUUGACCGGCCACAUUGGAACUGAGAUACGGUCCAGACUCCUACGGGAGGCAGCAGUGGGGAAUAUUGGGCAAUGGGCGCAAGCCUGACCCAGCGACGCCGCGUGAGGGAAGACGGUCUUCGGAUUGUAAACCUCUGUUGCAGGGGAAGAAUAAAGUGACGGUACCCUGCUAGAAAGCCCCGGCAAACUACGUGCCAGCAGCCGCGGUAACACGUAGGGGGCGAGCGUUGUCCGGAAUUACUGGGCGUAAAGGGUGCGUAGGCUGCGAGACAAGUCGGGUGUAAAAGGCACGGGCUCAACCUGUGUAUGCACUCGAAACUGUCUUGCUGGAGGGAUAGAGAGGCAAGCGGAAUUCCCGGUGUAGCGGUGAAAUGCGUAGAUAUCGGGAAGAACACCAGUGGCGAAGGCGGCUUGCUAGCUAUACCCUGACGCUGAGGCACGAAAGCCAGGGGAGCGAACCGGAUUAGAUACCCGGGUAGUCCUGGCAGUAAACGAUGAGUGCUAGGUGUGGGUGGGUCAAACCAUCUGUGCCGCAGCUAACGCAUUAAGUAUCCCGCCUGGGGAUACGGUCGCAAGGCUGAAACUCAAAGGAAUGACGGGACCCGCACAA